rnacentral:lncRNA from 1 species
ACCGCGGGGCCGUGCGGACGGCCAGCACUCGACUUUGCCUAAAAAAGGAAGCAGCAGGCUGAGGCUGAGGAGCUGGCGGCAGGAACAAGGGAGAGCUGUGUCCCCGCCGGCGCCCCCCACCCCCCCUGCCGGGGAUCUUGGCAGUGGAGGUGCUGGCUGCGCUCCACAGACCUCAGACCUCGGCUGGGACCAGAAAUGCCUGGUGCUUCCGCCUGGGCCCGGUGGGGGGACUUUGGGUCCCCAGAGUGCAAGCUGUACCACUUCGAGGGGCCUCGCCAGGCCCCCCAGCCCCCAGUACACAGGGGCUGCCGUGGAGAUGACGCUGAAGGCCGCAGCCGCUGGAGGACCUGGGGUCUGACCGGAAGCUGGCUGCAGACCCUGCGGAGGCACGUCCAGGCCCAGCUGUUGUUUUCACGGCUCCGGGACCAGGCGGAUCCUCAGCCAAGAGCUUCCCAGGAGAGCCCUCAUCUUCAACCCCUAGUGGCGACCAGAGCCAGCCCGGGCAGGAGGGGAAGGAAGGCGGCCGCGGCCCCGGGGAAGCCAUCCUGGCAGCUUGGCCACUGGCCCGGCUCCUGUCUGACCAGGAAAGGCAUCAAAGCCGGACUCGGAUGGAGGCUGGAAAACCCCGAGACUUCUGCUGGACUCGACCCAGCCACACACCAGGCUGUGCUCAAGGCCACGGAAUGAGCCUUGACCCUGGCCCCAGACGGAGCCCAGACCUUGCUGGUCACAGGCUGAGCCCUGCUGGCAAUAUGAUGUACUAGAUCCCUUAAAAGGCCUUCCAGCAACAACCAACUUCUGGAUGAAUUACUAUGAGCGUACAUUUUUAAUAGACUGUUGUGUUUCCAAGAAAGUAAAUAUCUCCGAGUCUCCCCCAAAAUUAAACAGCAAAAAUAAAUAAG